CCCAGAACAAAGCAUUCAGUAUGUAUCUAUCAGGGAGAGGACUCUACCAGCCUCCUGGCUCAGCUCUCUAUAAACCAUACCUUGCUGCCUUUGUACAGAGCUCAGCUCUGAAUCCCGUGGUGUUACUUCUAGAAAGCCUUCCAGCUGCUAGACCUCAUUCUUCUUUCCAGUCUCAGAGCCCAAAGAGCAGGGACUGCUUCUUCUGAGAUGGCUUGGAGAUGACCUUGAUGAGGCGACUGUGGAAGGUACCUAGCUCUUGGCCUCCUUGCAACACCAGCCUUAACACCAACCGGAAGUGCUUUCUCUUGUCCGAGUCCGAGAUAAAGAGAGCUUUGGCGCAGGCGAAUUCCUAGCCAGUCGGCGAAGUGGGCAGCUUUGCCUUUGUCCUGGGGCCAGCAGGCUCAGUGAAGCCUUGGCUACCCAGUUGAGGAUGGCUUAAAGAGCCCCCAACCCAAGCUCUCCCAGUCACCCUGGCCCCCUUGGACUGCCCAGAGUCCGGUUGCUUCUCAAAGCUCAGCUUUUGCGCCUCCGCGGAACCGCCGUCCAACCCCAUGUAACCGCAGACCGUGCAUCCAGCCUCCCCAGUCUCGUUUGCUAGAAUACACCGCAGGUGACUGAUGAGACGAGGUUGGAAUGUACCAUACAGCGUACUCCUGUGCAGUGGACUCAAGGGGGCGCUGUGGAGCUGCGCCUUCACCGUCUCGUCCCUGCUGACUCCCAACCCCUGGCUGGAUCUGGGAGAAGUUGUGGAGUUGGUCCUACUUCUCCCACUCACCUUGCCCCUGUUCCGGCUUCAGCCUCCAGCCUGGGCCCGUGAGAUACACGCAGGGCGGCGGACAGAAGAACCUACGUGGAGAGGCUGUUGUCACCUCUGGGCCAAGGGAAGGACCGACUGAUAGGGGCGGGGAAGUGCUUGGAUAUGUCCCAAACUGUUCCGAGUCCUCAGAAAGAAUCUUAGAAAUUAUUUAGCCUGGUACAAAGUGGAAAGAGCCCAAGACUUGGGAGUCCAAGGAAAUGAGUUUAGAUCCUAGCUCUGAAACUUAGUAGCUCUGUGACCUUAUCAAGUCACUUCUCUCUGAGUCUCAGUUUCCUCAUCUAGGUCUACACCUACUUCAGUGAGGUUUGUAAAUAAAUAAUUGGUUAUAUAAAUGGGAGGGUUCUUUCUAUCUUUAUUUUUUACUGCUACCCAAUAAAGUUCAUAUUACCCAUGACAACUUGGCUAAUAAGGAACGGAAGAAAAAUAUUGGAUCGGAAGAGGUGGGGCCACUGUAUUUGGAAAAGGAAAAACAACCGAUUCACACCUGGAGCACUGCCUAAGUAUUCCUGAAACAUUUGAAAGACCUAGAGGGAAACCUCAAAGGUAGGUCCCUCUGUAGAGGAUUUAUGGAAGAACAGGGACAAGAGUCCCAGAAUGAGAAGUGGUGGAUAGGUUACCAUUUGUAUGUAUCAACUGAAGUAUCAAGGGAUAAAAAUUAAAAUUCACCUGACAUUAAAGGCCCUCCACAAUCUGAAGGCACCCUAACUCUUCAGCAUGAUCUCUGCUUUCUAUUCUCCAUGCAUUGUAGAUUCCAACCAAAGUAGAAGUCUUUGCUUCCCUAGGAUAUCUCAUCUUCUCUCCCUUCCAUGCCUUUGGUCUCAUUUCCCUAUGUCUGCAAUGCCUCCUUCCCCUACUUCAUUUGUUAUUUUUAUUAACAAUAUAUCCUUUUAAGCCCAAUUCAAAUAUCAGCUCCUCCUGUAAGUACCUUGAGGGCAGGUACUUGUUUUAUUUUUUGUAUUGGUAUUUCCAGCAAUGUGGGCAGGGCUUGGCAUAGGGUAUGAUCUUAAGAAACAUAUAUGAUAGUAGCUUUUUUGUGGUGGCAAACAAUGGGAAACUGAGGGGAUACCCAUUAACUGGGGAAUGG